UAUGAUGGGACGGGGUGGGGCCAGUGGUGGAAGAGUUUUGGAGACUUCUCCUGUUUGGAGUUCAGAGUGCAAGCUUAAAAUAGAAAGAGAAAGCAAAAUCUGACAGAUUAUGGAUCAAAAAGUGAGAGUUGAGCUGAAAAAACCAUCCAAACCAUAGCAAAGAGUAAAACUCAGAAGUCAUAAAUAAAAACAGCUGGAUCACCAUGGAAGCCUCCAGUUUUAAGAUUGGAUGCUUGCACUGGAAGCAGUGUCAUAAGAAGAACAUGGACGUAUGGACAUCAUUUGGCAUGCACAUAAGAACACGGAGACCAAUUUAAGAAAGGGCUAAGAGUUGACCAAGUCCCAGAAAGAAGAAUGUCACUUAAGUAAGAUUGCAUGCAUUAAGGGAACCCAGAAGCUGAUAUCUGCAGAGAAUUGUUCAAGAGAGAGACUACAAUUCUACUUAAAAGAACAGUGUGGUGAAGCUGAGGUCAUAGGUGGAGUGGACAGUCUUCUAUCUCCUUGGAUACUCUUUGCUAUACUUUCUAUUCCAAGUGUAAAUUGUUUUUUGUAACAGAUGAGAAAUUACCAGCUAAUUCAUGGCUAAUUUGCAUUGAUUCUAAUUCAUGUGAAAGUUGAAAGAAAUGAAAUGUUGUUUAAUUCUUCGUUCAUAGCUUUGGUUAUUAUGGUUCAUUUGACCCCACAGGGCUUAUAACAAGAGACAACUUUGGAUUUUAGUGAGAAGUACAAAUGAAACAUUACUUGUUGAAAUGAAAACAAUUUCUGAGAACUGUCACCUAAUCCAGCAGCAGUGUUAGAAUUAUCCCAACCUUAGUGCCUUUAAAACAUUGAAGAUGGCAGCAUUGGCAAAGUAGGCACCGUUUGGGCUCUGGACCCAUCUGUUCUAGAUGGCCGCUUCCUCCCUAACUCUCUUGUCUUCAUUUUCUUUUUCUUCAUUGUCUUCCUGUCAGUAGCGUAAGAAUGACAUCAUGGAGGGGAACAGGUGGCAAAGCGGUGGCAGAAAAGCCAAGGACUUUUGGUUGUGAAUCUGGAGUGGGGGCUCCAAGCAUUGGUGACGUGGUGGUUGAAGUGGCAGUGGUGUGGUAUGCUUAGAGUGGGAACUUGAGGUGUUGGCAAGGUGGUGGCCUUAGCAGAGCAGAGGGCUCCUGGCGGUGGGCCCAAAGCAGGGACUCUCGGCAUCUGCAAGGCGGCAGCAGAGCCAGGAACUUCUGGUUGCAGUAUGCUUGGAUCAAGGAUUCCUUGCUAUCGGCAUGGCAGUGGCAACAAUUCCUGGUUGUGAUCGUCCCAUAGCUCAGGUCUUCUGGUUUGUCAGUGAGGUAACAGUAGCAGCAGAGCGGGGGGGGCUUAUCUUUGUGGGAAGAGUGUGGGUCCAGAAUGGGAUCCGGCAUCGACAGGGUGGGCCCAGCUAUGAAGAGAUGGCACCUGAAGAGUGAUGACUCGGACGUUGAGGAGUCUGGUGCAAAUGAUGGUAUGGGUGUCAUCAGUGGAGCAAAGAUGAAUUUUCUUUCAGCUUUGUCUUUUUAUUCUUGAGGUAUUCGAAUAGUGCCGGAUUGUGGCGACAGUUGAAGUUUUCACUGUAUUUUACUGUGUUGUUCAUUGAAGAGUAUAAGUAAUAAUAAGUCAUCAUACAUUCAUAUUAACAUAAUUAGCUGCAGGAACCAUUGAGCCCACAGUCUGGAUUAGCAUGCCCAUAUUUUCAUGUAAAUAAAAUGCUAACUAUUAUGCUAUAAAUAAUUUCUGUAGCAAUUGGUUUGUGAUGCUGCAACACUGAAACUGACAUUCAGAAUCUAUGCCAUAUCUUGCCAAGUAGGCAAUCUGUGCCCAGGAAUAGUGAGAUAAUUUGCAUUGCCUACUGUGUGAUUUAGCUGCUGGUUAUGUAGCUGCUCAUUUUUAUUCUACACAAAAUACCUGGCAUUUUACUAAUCCAAUAUAAAUAGAAUCCAAGUAAUCAAUUUUAAAGUCCUCUACAGCAUAUUUACUACAGACAGAUGCUAUUAUAUGGAGUUGUGAUGCCAAAUACCAAUGUGUUUUCCUGGUGCCUUUCAAUGCCAUCACUACUGUUCAUAUCAUUGGCAAUUUUCCAAAAGACAACAUACUAAGCACACAUUGUCAAUCAAGAUUACAGGCAAAAUUUUUAUCAUUAGAUAUGAUUUGUAUAGUUUUACUGAAUUUCAAUAUCCCUUCUUAGCUAGAUAUUAACAGUUAGUUAAAGGCAUUAGACAACAACUAAAACACUUAACCUGUUUUCACUGAGAGACACAGUUUCAUGUCAUAAAACGAUCAGUCUAAUCAAGGGAUUUCAGAUUGGAGACAACUAAGUCUUUACAAGGAUUUGUAAUCCAUAUGAUCAAUUAAUAUCAUAAGUUUUCCACCUACAACAAGUCAGGUUGCAGUGAUGGAGCAUCAAGCAGGAUAGAUGACUGGCGUAGGGACUGAUUUAGUGACUCAAGAUUCUUUAUUGUGAAACUGAGAAACUAACUCACAUGGAGCAUUCAGCAUAUUCAAAGGCUUUUUGAUAAGUAAUUCCAACAUGGUAGGUUACUGUGUGGCAACAGUGUUAGUCGCAAACAAUCGAUGUUGAUUUCUUUGGGCCUCCACUUUAGAUUAUUGCUUUGUUAAAAAAAAAUCUGGAUACCAUUUGUUUUAUUAUUAACAGUGUAGUGCAAAUAUAAUGAAAUAUAUAUAAAUGCAUACUUGAUUUAUGUUUGCAAAUUGUAACCCAAUAUUGCGCCAAUAGACUUUGAUUGGCAGCAGAGACAUUUACUCCGUGUUUUUAAUCACAAUGAAUUAACAUGUACUAAUAUGAUGUGACAGUGAAUUUAUUCAAAAAUGCAACAACUCUUAGUUCCUUUUGAUAGCAGAUUUCCUUUAUCAAAAGUGGAUCACUGGUUUAAGCUGCUGGUGUGGCAUUGAUAAAUGUUUGCUUGUUGAUGGUACAAAUCAAAAAAAUGUAUUUCUAUUUAUUAAGGUUUUUAGAAACUAAAAUUGAAACUAUCUGAUUCUCUCCCAUUCAUCAAUAAAUUAUACUCCCCUUUUCUCGAA